rnacentral:tRNA from 1 species
GGAGAGAUGGCUCAGCGGUUAAGAGCACUGACUGCUCUUCCAGAGGCCCUGAGUUCAAUCCCCAGCAACCACA